GGAGAUGUAGUUCAGUGGUAGAAUACACACCUCUCAGUGUGAAUCCGAAGAUUGAAAAUAUUUAUGAAAAUAAGUCGUGCCUUGGAGAUCCGGGCAGUCGGAAGAUUUUACCGUGAGUGUAUGAGAGGGAAGUUCAAUUCUUUCCAUCUCCA
rfam:Botryotinia fuckeliana BcDW1 unplaced genomic scaffold Scaffold_163, whole genome shotgun sequence.